UUUGGACAAAAUAAUGGAAAGAAGACAGAGUACAUUUAAGUCAUACAGUCAUGCAUAUAUAAAACCUGUCCAUCAACAAGAAAUAUUAGGACAGAUCACAGAUGCUUAGCCCUGUAAAUUCUGCCAAGCUGCAGUAGAUUGUCUCUCAUUCAUUGAGGGCAUUCUGGCAACAGCUGCCUUCCUAGAGGCCAGUGGAGUCCCAUUUAUACCAAUUGUUGUGGUAUAGCUUGAAUCAUUUUCCUCUUAGAUCUCCAAACACUUUGUGCAUGAGGGAUGUCAAUUAAGGCAUUGGGGUCAUUGUCCAUGAUUGGCGUGGUGAAGUGAUUGGAGCUCUAUCCAUGCCCAUUCCUCUAACUCAAACUGUGAAUGAAUUGGAGGCAUUAGCUUGUCGCAGAGCGGUUCGGUUUGCAAGUGAACUUGGACUUCGGAAAGUUAUUUUUGAAGGUGAUUCAUCGAUGGUGAUUAAUGCUCUUUCUCAAGGGUCUAGUUGUUUUUCUUCAUAUGGGAAUAUCGUUGAUGAUCUCAUUUUUCUUGUUGCUGAUUUCCAGUUUUUUGAAUUCUAUCAUUUUUUUUUCUUUUUGAUGAAACUAUCAUGUUGAAAUACUUUGUAAUGUUGUGGCUGAUGUUCUUGCUAAAAAGGCCAAAGACAUUAACUUUGUAAUUUUUUUUCUUUUUGAUGAAACUAUCAUGUUGGGGAUU